GAUGAACGCUGGCGGCGUGCCUAAUACAUGCAAGUCGAACGGCCAGACAGGGAGCUCUCUCUUCUGCCGUUGGCGACGGGCGGGUGAGUAAUGCGUAGAUAGCCUUCCACUAUGUCUUGGGUGAUUUCGGGGAACCGGAGCUCCUAAUACCUCAUAUGUUGAACCGCUUGGUUCAUUGGAGAAAGACGGUUUUGCUGUUUCUUAUAGACGGAUCCGCGCUGCAUUGGCUAGUUGGUAAGGUAACGGCCUACCAAGGCGCCGAUGCGUAGCGGAGCUGAGAGGAUGAUCGGCCACACUGGAACUGAGACACGGUCCAGACGCCUACGGGAGGCAGCAGUGGGGAAUAUUCGGCAAUGGGCGAAAGCCUGACCCAGCAACACCGCGUGAGUGACGAAGGCCUUCGGGUUGUAAAGCCCUUUUGUUGGGGAAGAACAACUGUGGGUUAAAACAUGGCCGUCGUGACGGUACCUAAAGAAAAAGCAACGGCUAACUACGUG
rnacentral:rRNA from 1 species